rnacentral:lncRNA from 1 species
AUGGGUACACAGAAUUAUUGGUUCUGUUCUGCGAUUAGCCUCCAAAUUUCUCCAAAAUAUUAUCAAUAUUUUGGCAAGGUGUAUCCACAACACAUCAGUUUCUAAUUAUUACUUACAAUACAAAAUGGUGUUGUUCUAUUGGUGUUGUUAACUCUAUAUAUCUAUAUUUCCUGAAAUUAUUCAUUGUUAGCAUCUGAUGAUUUUUCUUUUUCCAGGGGCUCAAAUGGUGUGCCAAGAAGUCCUACAAGUAUAAAACCAGGAGAGCUUUCAAGUUCUAGCACCGGAAGCGGUGGAGUUUGUGAUCCUGGUUACGACUCGUACUCUCUCUCUUCAACUGAUAGUCUUCCUCUGCAACAAAGUCUCAAGCAUAAUUUACAGCUUGCACAAAUUCCAGAGGGACAUCAAACACCUAUCAAUGGGGUUGGAGCGUAUGCAAAUGGUCUCCCUAACUCCAUAGAUGACUGUGAGCGACUAUGUGCAGAAGCUGAUCAGUGCUUGGUCGUUCUGAAGAAGCUCCAGAUCUAGAAACUGCAUUAUCUUUGGCGAAUGCUGCCGCUGGUAAAGCACGCGCUGCCAUGGACGCCCCAUACAGUAAUCCCCAGACUGCAAGUUUCGCCAGAAUGAAACAUAAUUCCUGCAUUAUGAGAGCACGCAGCCUUCACAGAAAGUUGGAAGAGCCUUUGAAUACCAAACGUAAGUCCUGUUUUUCAGAAUUUUUUGAUAUAUUGGAUGGUUGACCUCCCCUUGUUAUGUUGUUGAUUUUUAAAUUUCAUCCUACUUUUAUGAUUAAAAAUAAUUCUGCAAGUUCCAUGCCUGUU